AUUGAACGCUGGCGGCAUGCCUUACACAUGCAAGUCGAACGGCAGCACGGGUGCUUGCACCUGGUGGCGAGUGGCGAACGGGUGAGUAAUACAUCGGAACAUGUCCUAUAGUGGGGGAUAGCCCGGCGAAAGCCGGAUUAAUACCGCAUACGAUCUACGGAUGACAGCGGGGGACCUUCGGGCCUCGCGCUAUAGGGUUGGCCGAUGGCUGAUUAGCUAGUUGGUGGGGUAAAGGCCUACCAAGGCGACGAUCAGUAGAUGGUCUGAGAGGACGACCAGCCACACUGGGACUGAGACACGGCCCAGACUCCUACGGGAGGCAGCAGUGGGGAAUUUUGGACAAUGGGCGAAAGCCUGAUCCAGCAAUGCCGCGUGUGUGAAGAAGGCCUUCGGGUUGUAAAGCACUUUUGUCCGGAAAGAAAUCCUUGGCUCUAAUACAGUCGGGGGAUGACGGUACCGGAAGAAUAAGCACCGGCUAACUACGUG
rnacentral:rRNA from 1 species